CCUACGUGUGGCAGCAGUGGGGAAUAUUGCACAAUGGGCGAAACCCUGAUGCAGCAACGCCGCGUGAGUGAGGAAGUAUUUCGGUAUGUAAAGCUCUAUCAGCAGGGAAUAGCAAAGAAGGUACCUGAAAAAGAAGCCCCGGCUAACUACGUGCCAGCAGCCGCGGUAAUACGGAGGGGGCAGGCGUUAUCCGGAUUUAAUGGGUGGAAAGGGAGCGUAGACGGAAAGGCAAGUCAGAAGUGAAAACCAAAGGCUCAACCAUGGUACUGCUUUGGAAACUGUCAAACUAGAGUACGGGAGAGGUAAGAGGAAUUCCUGGUGUAGCGGUGAAAUGCGUAGAUAUUAGGAGGAACACCAGUGGCGAAGGCGUCUUACUGGACCGAAACUGACGUUGAGGCACGAAAGCGUGGGGAGCAAACAGGAUUAGAUACCCUAGUAGUC
rnacentral:rRNA from 1 species